rnacentral:rRNA from 1 species
UACGUAGGGUGCGAGCGUUAAUCGGAAUUACUGGGCGUAAAGCGUGCGCAGGCGGUUUUGUAAGCCAGAUGUGAAAUCCCCCGGGCUUAACCUGGGAAUGGCAUUUGGGACUGCAAAGCUUGAGUGUGGCAGAGGGGACUGGAAUUCCGGGUGUAGCGGUGGAAUGCGUAGAGAUCCGGAAGAACACCGGUGGCGAAGGCGGUUGGCUGGGCCGUGGCUGACACUGAGGCGCGACAGCGUGGGAGCAACAGG